rnacentral:rRNA from 1 species
AUGACCGAUGCGGACGUGGCGUCACAAGAGGAGGAUGGCUCAGCCGUUGUGGAUUCUUCAGCGCCGCCUACCGCGUUACGUCGGAGAAAGACCGACGAGGAGUUGGCCAACGAAUUCUGGGCGGAUAUCGGCUACCCGACGCCGGCGUCGAGGGUAUGGGAGAGACCGUCGUCUCGACGGACAGGUGAGUUUUCUCAUGUGUGCAGGUCGGAGGCGAGUGGAGAUCUGCAACCCAAGGUGGCGCCGGUGAACUCCAACUCUUCCGGGCCUGAGGAGCGCACGGGUUUGAACUCGAAGAUGGAAGCGGCAAACUCCAAGGCGGGUGGGCCGCAGUUUUCACCAAAGCUGCCGGCGGCGGUUUGGCGAGGCGUCGUCGGGGUGCCGGCCCGGUCUGGGUCGCUCGUCAAGCCGUGGAUUGGGCCGAUCCCUCCGCCUAGAGCUUCACCUCUCCGGACGCUCGGUGAUCUGUUACCGCAUGCUUGCGGCGGCGAAGACAAUGUAGGGCCGCGAAACUGUUCGCCGGCGUUCACUCCUCCGAUGCCAGUGCGGGGGGCCUCGUUGUGCACGAGUACCGUUCCCGAUCCGGAGUUCACGGCGGGACCACACCAGGAUGAGGACAUGACACAUCAUAGGCGUCCACUUCGGAUAGUCAAUCUGAACCGUUGGCUUGGGCACUUGUGGAACCGGACGGGGAGCGCUGCGAAACCUAACUUCUUUCGCUCCUUUGCGGCCGUCGUCCGCUCCCCUGCUAUGACGAGAGGCAAUCCGGCCGCGCCGCCCGGUUCCAACUCCGGCCACCAUGCCCGCCCUCCUCCUGGACCCGUGCAGCCGUCCGAUCCCAGCCCGUCCGGAGGGGCUCCGGGUUUCUCUCCAGGGGUAUAUCUACCGGUCCAGCCAACGCAACCAAACGCACCGGCGGGAUCCUUGGCGCCGGCGCAGCAGCAGCAGGUCGUCUAUCAGCCGCCAGUGAAUCAACAUCAAGUAUAUCAGAUGCCGUUCCAGCAGCAGUUCAUCAGCAACCCACAGCAGGCAUAUAUGCUUCAACCUUCGGGUGGCCUUGUGCAGCAACAUCAGCAGCUCGCAGUGCCUGUUUUUCAACAGGUGAGUAAUCAAGGGCAGCAGCUUGGUGCUCCAGCCGGUAUGCAACCGGUCGCCGCUUUUAAUGUUGGGCCGGCAUUCAAGUCUGCUACCUCCAGUCCCGCUAUUGCUGCUCGUCCGCGCAAACCGAAGGGCGGCAAGGGCGGCCGUCCUAAGUUCCAGCAGGGAGCAGCGUCGUCUACUCCGAACCCAUUUGUCCCUAUGACUAUGCAAGGGCAACAGAGUGCGGCACCUGUCUUUGCCUCCACGCCAAACUUGCCUGGGGGAGGCGGGCAGAUGGUUCUCAUGCAGAGCAAUACACCAACCUUGCCUCAAUCUUCGGUGCCUGCUGGAGUUACAACAACAACUAAAAAGGUGUGGUGCACUAAAUGUCAAUCUGCAGGGCAUACUGCUGAGGACUGUGUGACACAACAAUUCUGUUUUAUAUGUAAUAAGACGAAUCAUCCGAUGACCAUGCGUCGGUGCCCUGCUCUCAAGAUGCCGAAGCCGGUGGCGAUGCUCUGUGGAUAUGGUACUGAGAACAUGGCUUUUUUCCAGAUGCCUGACAAUGUCUGUAGGGAGGAUCUAGCACCACAAGUCUCCCCAACAGCGCUAGUCACGAUCUCCGGUGGCUCUAUCACUUCCAGUAUUGUGGAGGCAGAGGUUGCCAAGAUUGCUCAGUGCCAGCAAGCGUGGACUUGGGAGGCCAUACCACAUGGUCAGAAUGCCUUUCUCAUGUCAUUCCCAAGUGAGGAGGUGCUUCUGCAAGUCACAGGGUUUACAGUUUUUAUCAAAUCUCACAAUGUCACUUUGGAGUUUAAGGCUUGGCAGUCUGAGGAGAUACCACACCGCUUUGAGUUAAUACCUAUUUGGGUGCAUGUGCACGGGGUCCCCCACGCGCUCCGUCACUUUCUGGGCCUGUGGGCGGUUGGCUCGGUAAUUGGCGCAACUAUGGAUGUGGAUCUUCUCUGUUUGCGUCGUCGAGGUAUUGUUCGCAUACAAGUGGCUGUGCUAAACCUCGAUGCUUUCAACACGAGCACGAUUAAUUCUCUCUCAUCGGAUGUGGUCGUUCAAGGCAAGGGGUAUGAGUUUCGGUACAGUUUGGAAAACUCAGACUUUCGUGUCGAUGCUGAUUUCGUGCCGCGCGUCUGGGAGCAUGGAGAUGAUCCUGAGGAUGACAAGGGGCAGGACAGAGAGGAAACUAUGAGGACUAAUGAUCCAAGCAAGAGGUCAAAAGCAUCGUCGUCAUCCAAUGCCCAGAAGAUUACUCCUACCUCGGGAGGACUGGUGCCCAUGCAGCUUGCCGCAUCAACAUCUGCUUUGAGCCGGACUGUGUCGCCAACAAAGAUCAUCGCUGUUACACCGUUGAACACAAAUCGUCGUGCACCAACCAUGGAUGCUUCACCGACUAUACAGGGGCCGUCUUCGUUGGGUACGCUACCUCCAGCCACUUCUGAUUUGGCGCAGGGGAUCAUUGAGACACCGAUACAUCAAGUGGAACCUGCUACCCCGCUGCCAUCUACUCCUGUGACGCAGCAUCAUGGCGACGGCUGUGCCAUGGCGCCACCCCCGCUGGAUGGGUUUGCGUCAUCAGAGGACACUGCGGACGACUCCCUAUCAUCUCCGACGUCCGACACUCGGUCUCCUUCCCGUCGGGGUGUGAUCUUUUCCCCGGCGGUUAGGGCGGACCAUGAGUCGGCGAUGGCGGCGCUGCGAGCUUUGUCCUCCGCGCCUUCUUCGCCAGGAGGAGCGUUGGCGGCUGAGGCGAUCGCCAAGGUGGAGGGCGAGGUGCAGCCCUUGCAGUCUCCUUCAUCACCUAACCCGUCUACACCGCCUUUCGUCAGUGAGACGGGCUCCGAGAUCGAUGUUACUCCUUCGUCGCUGAGGCGUAGCGGGCGUCAUCAUGUCGGGACUGAUGGAUCAGCAACCACCGACGAGGAUACUAUGGUGAAGGCUAUGCGUAGGACUGCUGCACGCAACCUCGACUUUGAAGGUUAUUCAUGUUUGUACACGAUGGCUCCGUACUUGGUCUAUCCUGCAGAAGCCGGAAGACAGGGACAUUUUUAUGAUGGCGUCUACACGGCUGGAGCGUACGGCCAGGGAGGUUUUCUACCCCCAUGGAUGGCGGUGUGA